rnacentral:tRNA from 1 species
GUAGACGUUGCUCAGUGGUUAGAACACAGGUCUCUGGCUCGCGGGUCCGCGAGUUCGAGUCCCGUCGUCUACU